UGCAGUAACGCGACCGAUCCCAGAGAAGUUGGCGGGAGCCCCGGGGAGAGUUCUCUUUUCUUUGUGAAGGGCAGGGCGCCCUGGAAUGGGUUCGCCCCAAGAGAGGGGCCCAAGCCCUUGAAAGCAUAGCGGUUUUGGCGUUGUCCGGUGAGCUCUCCCUGGCCCUUGAAAAUCUGGGGGAGAG
rnacentral:ncRNA from 1 species